AGACCUUCAGAUCAACAUCCUUACAAAUCCUGACUGCUUGUCAAAAACACAAUUUGAAAUUACUGGAUUGCCAGAGAGAAGAAACCAGGUGAGAAUCCAGUUUUACAGAACAGCAUCCAGCCAUCCUCACACUUGAAAGGUGCCAGCUGGCCAUUAUUGCUACAGAGGUGUUACAGACAAAUGCAUCUCUAUAGAUGUAGACAGCAUUCGUGUUACAUCCUGAUAGGAAAAGAUUCUCAUAGACUGGUGUGUGAUCACAUAGUUAAUGCUUCUGUGUUGCUGAGGUAAGGUGCAAAGAUAACUGUGAAUCUAACUUCCCUCAAAUGUUAAACUUGCAGUUUAAAAAAGCUUGUAUCUUGCUGCUACUUGCAUCUCUCUUCCUCAGUUUAUAACAAAGAGAACUAAAUUUUGCAAAGAAAUCAUGUCUAAUCUGCUCAAAUGGUUUAACAGCAGAACUGGAAAGUGUAUUUACUGCACAGACAUGUUGAUGCUUGUAUCAGUAAAACUGUUAUAUAUUUCACUUAAGUUGAAAAUUAAUUAAUAUUUGUAACCUAAUGUUUCCUAACAUGGGGGUUUUAGUCAAAGCCUAUCUCAAGUAUCUCGUAUUUAGUCAAGCAAAUUCCUUACUUUAAAUAAUACUUGUUUCUACUUUUCUCAUUUCAGUAGGAAAAAAAUUAUCCCCUAGUCUUUUUCUUCGUUCUUGCUCUCACUGUUCCUUACUCUUGUGUUUUUUUUUUUUUUUUUUGCAGGCUCUCUUGUACUGCUUGCUUCUGUCCCUGUCUGAACAUCUGCUUCUUUGCACUAUGACUCCUGCCUCAGUUCUUCCCCCUCUAGGCACAUUAUCGCUUUCUUUCAGUGAAUAUCCACCUUGGAGAAUUUGAUUUUCUUCAUAGCCACAGCUUUUGCUGGAUGCUGCAGAACCACUGAGAAUGUUGGAGCAACACAGCUGGCAAGCUUUCAGAUUCACGGGGCAAAAUUGGAAAUACAAGUGUUAAAAUUUUGGCUUGCAGAUAAGUCUUGUGUGUUUUCUGCAUAGUAUCACUUAGCAAAAUCCUGAUGUCCGGAAUAAUUGUGCUAGCAGCAGUGCCCUGAGAAGCUGAAGGCUUCCAGUCAUAUUGCAGCACAGCUCAAGAAGCACAUAUAAUUCCAUUGAUUUAACUGGCCACUCUUUGAAUGUCAGUGGGUGUGUUCUAGGGCUGUUAUCUACUUGAAUGCUGC
rnacentral:lncRNA from 1 species